rnacentral:rRNA from 1 species
GAUGAACGCUAGCGGGAGGCCUAACACAUGCAAGCCGAGCGGUAUUUGUUCUUCGGAACAGAGAGAGCGGCGCACGGGUGCGGAACACGUGUGCAACCUGCCUUUAUCUGGGGGAUAGCCUUUCGAAAGGAAGAUUAAUACCCCAUAAUAUAUUGAGUGGCAUCAUUUGAUAUUGAAAACUCCGGUGGAUAGAGAUGGGCACGCGCAAGAUUAGAUAGUUGGUGAGGUAACGGCUCACCAAGUCAAUGAUCUUUAGGGGGCCUGAGAGGGUGAUCCCCCACACUGGUACUGAGACACGGACCAGACUCCUACGGGAGGCAGCAGUGAGGAAUAUUGGACAAUGGGUUAGCGCCUGAUCCAGCCAUCCCGCGUGAAGGACGGCGGCCCUAUGGGUUGUAAACUUCUUUUGUAUAGGGAUAAACCUACUCUCGUGAGAGUAGCUGAAGGUACUAUACGAAUAAGCACCGGCUAACUCCGUG